rnacentral:misc_RNA from 1 species
GAUGAAGAACUCAGCGAAAUGCGAUAAGUAAUGUGAAUUGCAGAAUUCAGUGAAUCAUCGAAUCUUUGAACGCACAUUGCGCCCCUUGGUAUUCCGAGGGGCAUGCCUGUUCGAGCGUCAUUACACCACUCAAGCUAUGCUUGGUAUUGGGCGUCGUCCUUAGUUGGGCGCGCCUUAAAGACCUCGGCGAGGCCACUCCGGCUUUAGGCGUAGUAGAAUUUAUUCGAACGUCUGUCAAAGGAGAGGAACUCUGCCGACUGAAACCUUUAUUUUUCUAGGUUGACCUCGGAUCAGGUAGGGAUACCCGCUGAACUUAAGCAUAUCAAUAAGCGGAGGA